rnacentral:rRNA from 1 species
UACGGAGGGUGCGAGCGUUGUCCGGAAUCACUGGGCGUAAAGCGCGUGUAGGCGGCCCACUAAGUCUGAUGUGAAAGCCCGGGGCUCACCCCCCGGAAGUGCAUUGGAAACUGGUGGACUCGAGUCCCGGAGAGGAGAGUGGAAUUCCGUGGUGUAGCGGUGAAAUGCGUAGAUAUCAGGAGGAACACCGGUGGCGAAGGCGGCUCUCUGGACGGUGACUGACGCUGAGACGCGAAGCGUGGGGAGCAAACAGG